UACGUAGGGGGCUAGCGUUGUCCGGAUUUAUUGGGCGUAAAGAGCGUGUAGGCGGCCAAGUAGGUCCGGUGUGAAAACUCGAGGCUUAACCUCGAGAUGUCAUCGGAAACCAUUUGGCUAGAGUCCGGAAGAGGAAAGUGGAAUUCCUGGUGUAGCGGUGAAAUGCGUAGAGAUCUGGAGGAACACCGAUGGCGAAGGCAGCCCCCUGGGCUAACACUGACGCUCAUGCACGAAAGCGUGGGGAGCAAACAGG
rnacentral:rRNA from 1 species